rnacentral:rRNA from 1 species
ACGAACGCUGGCGGCGUGCUUAACACAUGCAAGUCGAACGGAAAGGCCCUGCUUUUGUGGGGUGCUCGAGUGGCGAACGGGUGAGUAACACGUGGGUAACCUGCCCUUGACUUUGGGAUAACUUCAUGAAACUGGGGCUAAUACCGGAUAGGAGCUCCUGCUGCAUGGUGGGGGUUGGAAAGUUUCGGCGGUUGGGGAUGGACUCGCGGCUUAUCAGCUUGUUGGUGGGGUAGUGGCUUACCAAGGCUUUGACGGGUAGCCGGCCUGAGAGGGUGACCGGCCACAUUGGGACUGAGAUACGGCCCAGACUCCUACGGGAGGCAGCAGUGGGGAAUAUUGCACAAUGGGCGGAAGCCUGAUGCAGCAACGCCGCGUGCGGGAUGACGGCCUUCGGGUUGUAAACCGCUUUCGCCUGUGACGAAGCGUGAGUGACGGUAAUGGGUAAAGAAGCACCGGCUAACUACGUG